AUUACUGAGUUUACGCUCUAUAACCCUUUGUGAACAUACCUAUCACUGUUGCUUCGGCGGGUAGGGUCUCCGCGACCCUCCCGGCCUCCCGCCUCCGGGCGGGUCGGCGCCCGCCGGAGGAUAACCAAACUCUGAUUUAACGACGUUUCUUCUGAGUGGUACAAGCAAAUAAUCAAAACUUUUAACAACGGAUCUCUUGGUUCUGGCAUCGAUGAAGAACGCAGCGAAAUGCGAUAAGUAAUGUGAAUUGCAGAAUUCAGUGAAUCAUCGAAUCUUUGAACGCACAUUGCGCCCGCCAGCAUUCUGGCGGGCAUGCCUGUUCGAGCGUCAUUUCAACCCUCAAGCUCUGCUUGGUGUUGGGGCCCUACAGCUGAUGUAGGCCCUCAAAGGUAGUGGCGGACCCUCCCGGAGCCUCCUUUGCGUAGUAACUUUACGUCUCGCACUGGGAUCCGGAGGGACUCUUGCCGUAAAACCCCCCAAUUUUCCAAAGGUUGACCUCGGAUCAGGUAGGAAUACCCGCUGAACUUAAGCAUAUCAAUAAGCGGAGGAAAAGAAACCAACAGGGAUUGCCUCAGUAACGGCGAGUGAAGCGGCAACAGCUCAAAUUUGAAAUCUGGCCCUAGGCCCGAGUUGUAAUUUGCAGAGGAUGCUUUUGGUGCGGUGCCUUCCAAGUUCCCUAGAACGGGACGCCAGAGAGGGUGAGAGCCCCGUACAGUUGGACACCAAGCCUUUGUAAAGCUCCUUCGACGAGUCGAGUAGUUUGGGAAUGCUGCUCAAAAUGGGAGGUAUAUUUCUUCUAAAGCUAAAUACCGGCCAGAGACCGAUAGCGCACAAGUAGAGUGAUCGAAAGAUGAAAAGCACUUUGAAAAGAGGGUUAAACAGCACGUGAAAUUGUUAAAAGGGAAGCGCUUGUGACCAGACUUGCGUCCGGUGAAUCACCCAGCUCUCGCGGCUGGGGCACUUCGCCGGCUCAGGCCAGCAUCAGCUCGCUGUCGGGGACAAAAGCUUCAGGAACGUAGCUCUCUUCGGGGAGUGUUAUAGCCUGUUGCACAAUACCCUUCGGCGGGCUGAGGUACGC
rnacentral:misc_RNA from 1 species